CAGAGGUCAGGCUCACGGUCUUGUUGACCAGGCGGUGGGGGUCAGGGUCAGGUCAGAGGUCGGGGGUCGGGCUCACGGUCUUGUUGACCAGGCGGUGGGGGUCGGGGGGUUGGGUCAGAGGUCGGGGGUCGGGCUCACGGUCUUGUUGACCAGGCGGUAGGGGUCAGGGUCGGGUCAGAGGUCAGGCUCACGGUCUUGUUGACCAGGCGGUGGGGGUCGGGGGUCAGGGGUCGGGCUCACGGUCUUGUUGACCAGGCGGUGGGGGUCAGAGGGUCGGGUCAGAGGUCGGGGGUCAGGCUCACGGUCUUGUUGACCAGGUGGUGGGGGUCGGGGGU